rnacentral:piRNA from 1 species
UCUCUUCUGCAGGUCUGCUAGAGUUUGC